UACGGAGGGGGCGAGCGUUAUUCGGAAUUAUUGGGCGUAAAGGGCGCGUAGGCGGCUCGAUAAGUCAAAGGUGAAAUCCCUCGGCUCAACUGAGGAACUGCCUUUGAAACUGUCGAGCUCGAGUCCGGGAGGGGGUAGCGGAAUUCCCAGUGUAGCGGUGAAAUGCGUAGAUAUUGGGAGGAACACCAGUGGCGAAAGCGGCUACCCGAGACCGGAACUGACGCUGAUGCGCGAAAGCGUGGGUAGCAAACAGG
rnacentral:rRNA from 1 species